GGGGCGGAUUCAGGAUUCGACGAGAUUCACGAAACCCAAGGUGCAUGCCCAGGGGCGGUUGGCCUGGUAAAAAGCCGCAAAACUAUAAUUGCUAACGACGAAACGUUCGCACUAGCCGCUUAAGGCUAGCCAUCGCCUCAUAGUCUUACCUGUUGUCUAGAGGAUCGAUGGUCACCCCAAAUAGGUUAGCGAGGGAACUGUGUCUGACGGUGAACCGCGAAACAGUAUCAGACUCACCAUGACGAAGUCUGUCGUUUGACGUCUAAUUGGUUAAACAAAUAAACGACUAAGCAUGUAGUACCGAGGAUGUAGGUUUUUCGGACGGGGGUUCAACUCCCCCCCGCUCCACCA
rfam:Thalassotalea sp. ND16A ctg76, whole genome shotgun sequence.